UAACAAUCGGUUGGGUAUCUUUUACUCUCAUGCUGGGUUGACCUAGUAACUGGUUAAUUUUGAAUGUAAUCCUUAGGUUAAUUUCAGCAUACGUGGCUUAUUAGAGACGUGGCUUUCAGCUAGAUCUUAUUGGCCACCUGUGAGAGUAGAAACAUCAAACUGUUCCUAGGUCAGUGUCUAGGGACAACUUAACUCAUUAAACACCAAACUGUUCCUAGGUCAGUAUCUAGGGACAACUUAACCCAUUAAACAUCAAACUGUUCCUAGGUCAGUAUCUAGGGACAACUUAACCCAUUAAACAUCAAACUGUUCCUAGGUCAGUGUUUAGGGACAACUUAACUCAUUAAACUGUUCCCAGGUCAGUGUCUAGGGACAACUUAAC
ensembl:lncRNA